AUGGCAGAAUCACUGCUUCUCCCUUUGGUGCGCGGUGUGGCUGGCAAGGCAGCAGGCGCGCUUGCUCAGACCGUGACGCGCAUGUGUGGCCUUGACGACGACCGUGAAACGCUGGAGCGCCACUUGCUAGCCGUCGAGUGCAAGCUGGCCAACGCAGAGGAAAGGAGCCAGAGCAAUCGCUACCUCAAGAGCUGGAUGGAGAAGCUCAAGGACGUCGCCUACGAGGCAGAAGAUGUCCUUGACGACUUCGAGUAUGAGGCGCUGCGCCGCAAGGCCCAGAUUGGCGACUCCACCUUCCGCAAGGUACUCGGCUACGUCACAUGCCGCAGCCCACUGCUCUUCCGUUUUGCCAUGAGCAGGAAGCUCAAGGCCGUCCUCAAUAAGAUCAAGGAGCUGGUUAAGGAGAUGAACAGGUUUGGGCUUGUGGAUUCUGUCACUCGUGAGGGGCCGCAACUUCCUUGGCGGCAGACACACUCCAAACUGGACAAGUCUACCGACGUCUUUGGAAGAGAUGAUGACAAAGAGGGGGUGGUGAAGUUGCUACUAGACCAGCAAGAUCAGCGGAAGGUGCAGGUGCUGCCCAUCUUUGGUAUGGGAGGUCUUGGUAAGACAGCACUUGCUAAGAUGGUGUACAAUGAUAAAGAGGUCCAACAACAUUUUCAGUUGAAGAUGUGGCACUGCGUUUCAGAAAAUUUUGAUGUAAUUGCUAUUGUGAAAUCCAUCAUUGAAUUGGCUACAAAUGAAAGAUACAACCCGCCUGACAGCAUUGAGCUAUUGCAGAAGAAACUUGAUGAAGUCAUUGGCCGGAAAAGAUUUUUUCUUGUUCUUGAUGAUGUCUGGAAUGAAGAGAAGACGAUAUGGGAGGAUAAUUUGAAGCCACUGUUAUGCUCCAUCGGUGGAAUAGGAAGUGUUAUAGUUGUGACAUGUCGAAGCGAGCAAGUGGCCACUAUAAUGUGCACCAUUCAGCCCCUUAAGUUAGCAUGUCUACGUGAAGAAGAUUCAUGGGAAUUGUUCUCGAAGAAAGAAUUUAGCAAUGGUGUAGAGGAGCAAGCAGAGUUAGUCACCACAGGAAGACGUAUUGUCAAUAAAUGCGGGGGGUUGCCUCUUGCUCUGAAGACAAUGGGUGGAUUGCUAAGUUCGAAGCAACAUGUAGAGGAAUGGAAGACCGUCGAAGGAAGUAACAUUGGGGAUAAUGUUGGGGGCAGGCAUGAGGUCAUGCCCAUACUAAAGUUAAGCUACAACCACUUGUCAUCUGAAAUGAAGCAAUGUUUUGCAUUCUGCGCAGUUUUUCCCAAGGAUUAUGAGAUGCAAAAGGAUACGUUGAUCCAACUAUGGAUGGAAAAUGGCUUUAUUAAAGAAGAGGCGACAAUUGAUUUAACACAAAAAGGAGAAUGCAUUUUCCAUGAAUUGGUUUGGACGUCCUUUCUGUAAGAUAUGAAAGUUGUAGACAAUUAUUCCUCGGGAUAUGAGACAGUAGUAUGUAAAAUGCAUGACUUAAUGCAUGAUUUAGCAAGAAGUGUUAGCAAUGAAUGUGCCACCAUAGAAGAAUUGAUUGAACAAAAAGCAUUGGUAAAAAAUGUCUGCCACGUGCAAAUGUCAACGGAUAAUUUUGAAAAUACCUAUGGUUUGUUCGAUGGCAACACAUCUCCCCGCACUUUGUUAGCUCCUUCAUUGAUGUAUCAGGAAUUUAAACGUCUACCACAUGUAUGAUUACGAGCAUUGCAUUGGCAGGGUUUGUCUCGCACCAGUUUCAAGUUCGUAAAUGCAAGACAUGUAUGGUAUCUUGACCUCUCCAAUUGUGACGUCAAUGCUAGAUUGCUAGAUUCAGUAUGUCUAUUGUAUAACCUGCAAAUGUUGAGGCUGAAUCAUUGCACUGAGCUACAACAGUUACCAGAAGAAAUGAUGAUAAGCCUGAGAAAGCUCAUACAUCUUUAUAUUUUUUGAUGUGAUAAGUUGGACCGGAUGCCUUGAAACAUUGGCCAGCUGAACAACCUUCUCACACUAACAAGAUUUGUUGUGGAUACUAGAGAGGGUUGUGGUAUUGAGGAACUCAAAGACUUGCGCCACCUUAGCAACAUGUUGGAACUAUACAACUUGAGAAAAAUAAAGAGUGCAAUGCAUGCAAAAGAAGCCAAUCUCCAGCAUAAGCAAAAUCUGAGUGAGUUGUUGUUCAGUUGGGGCCUUGAUAUAUUUGACAGGACCGAAAAUGAGGCAUGUAAUGAGGAAGAAGUGUUCCAGCAUCUAGAACCUCAUAGCAAGAUCGAAAUUUUUGAGUUGCAUGGAUAUGGUGGCCCAGAAAUACCACGAUGGAUGAGAGACCCUCAGAUGUUUCAGUGCUUAAGGAAACUCGCAAUUGCCAACUGGACAAGGUGUAAGAAUAUACCUGUAGUAUGUCUCUCAUCAUCACUGGAGUACUUAUGCUUACACAACAUGGGUAAACUGAAGACAUUGUGUGAUAACCUUUGCAUAGAAGGUGGAGGACGCAGGACCCGUCUACAAAUUUUCCCAAAGCUGAAGGAGAUGGUCUUGGUAAACCUAUGUAGUCUAGAAGGAUGGGCAGAAAACAGUGCGAGGGUGGCCAUUGAUAGCUCAUUAAUAUUCCCGGUUCUCGAGAAGCUAGUAAUCGACAGAUGCCCGAAGCUUGCAAGUUUUCCACUGAGCCAUGUUCUCAAAGACCUGAAGUUAGAAGGAUCUUAG
rnacentral:rRNA from 1 species